rnacentral:rRNA from 1 species
AGUGAACGCUGGCGGUAGGCCUAACACAUGCAAGUCGAACGGCAGCACAGUAAGAGCUUGCUCUUACGGGUGGCGAGUGGCGGAUGGGUGAGGAAUACAUCGGAAUCUACUUUUUCGUGGGGGAGAACGUAGGGAAACAUACGCUAAUACCGCAUACGACUUACGGGUGAAAGCAGGGGAUCUUUGGACCUUGCGUGAUUGAAUGAGCUGAUGUCGGAUUAGCUAGUUGGCGGCGUAUAGGCCCACCAAGGCGACGAUCCGUAGCUGGUCUGAGAGGAUGAUCAGCCACACUGGAACUGAGACACGGUCCAGGCUCCUACGGGAGGCAGCGAUGGGGAAUAUUGGACAAUGGGCGCAAGCCUGAUCCAGCCAUACCGCGUGGAUGAAGAAGGCCUUCGUGUUGUAAAGCCCUUUUGUUGGGAAAGAAAAGCAGCAGUUUAAUACCCCGCUGUUCUGACGGUACCCAAAUAAUAAGCACCGGCUAACUUCGUG